rnacentral:tRNA from 1 species
AAUAAGUUGACAGAUUAAUGUAAUUGAUUUAGAAUCAAUAUAUGGUUAUUACCACUUAUUA